rnacentral:rRNA from 1 species
UUGAACGCUGGCGGCAUGCCUUACACAUGCAAGUCGAACGGUAACGCGGGGCAACCUGGCGACGAGUGGCGAACGGGUGAGUAAUACAUCGGAACGUGCCCAGUAGUGGGGGAUAGCCCGGCGAAAGCCGGAUUAAUACCGCAUACGACCUAAGGGUGAAAGCAGGGGACCGCAAGGCCUUGCGCUAUUGGAGCGGCCGAUGUCAGAUUAGCUAGUUGGUGGGAUAAAAGCUUACCAAGCCGACGAUCUGUAGCUGGUCUGAGAGGACGACCAGCCACACUGGGACUGAGACACGGCCCAGACUCCUACGGGAGGCAGCAGUGGGGAAUUUUGGACAAUGGGCGAAAGCCUGAUCCAGCCAUGCCGCGUGCAGGAUGAAGGCCUUCGGGUUGUAAACUGCUUUUGUACGGAACGAAAAGACUCCUUCUAAUAAAGGGGGUCCAUGACGGUACCGUAAGAAUAAGCACCGGCUAACUACGU